GACGGAGUCUCGCUCUGUUGCCAGGCUGCAGUGCAGUGGUGCGAUCUCGGCUCACUGCAACCUCCGCCUCCCGGGUUUCAGCAAUUCUCCUCAGCCUUCCGAUAGCUGGAAUUACAGGUGCCUGCCACCACACCCAGCUAAUUUUUGUAUGUUUAGCAGAGAUGGACUCCUGACCUCAGGUGAUCCACCCGCCUCGGCCUCCCAAAGUGUAGGGAUUACAGGCAUGAGUGACUGCGCCCGGCUGAAGCCUAAACUCUUUUUUUUUUUUUUUGGAGACCGAGUCUCGCUCUGUCACCCAGGCUGGAGUGCAGUGGCACGAUCUCGGCUCACUGAAACCUCCGCCUCCUGGGUUCAAGUGAUUCUCCUGCCUCAGCCUCCCGAGUAGCUGGGAUUACAGGUGUACACCACCACAUCUGGCUAAUUUUUGUAUUUUUAGUAGGGACGGGGUUCACCAUGUUGGCCAGGCUGGUCUCAAACUCCUGACUUCA
rnacentral:lncRNA from 10 species